UGGGGACUUUUGCACAAUGGGGGAAACUCUGAUGCAGCGACGCCGCGUGAUUUAGAAGGCCUUCGGGUUGUAAAAAUCUUUUCUAUGGGAAGAAAAUGACAGUACCAUAGGAAUAAGGACCGGCUAAUUACGUGCCAGCAGCCGCGGUAAUACGUAAGGUCCGAGCGUUGUCCGGAAUCAUUGGGCGUAAAGGGUACGUAGGCGGGUAAGCAAGUUAGAAGUGAAAUCCUAUAGCUCAACUAUAGUAAGCUUUUAAAACUGCUCAUCUUGAGGUAUGGAAGGGAAAGUGGAAUUCCGGGUGUAGCGGUGAAAUGCGCAGAUAUUAGGGGGAAUACCGGUGGCGAAGGCGACUUGCUGGCCAUAACCUGACGCUGAGGUACGAAAGCGUGGGUAGCAAACAGG
rnacentral:rRNA from 1 species